UACAGAGGUCUCAAGCGUUGUUCGGAUUCAUUGGGCGUAAAGGGUGCGUAGGCGGCGCGGUAAGUCGGGUGUGAAAUCUCGGGGCUUAACUCCGAAACUGCAUUCGAUACUGCCGUGCUUGAGGACUGGAGAGGAGACUGGAAUUUACGGUGUAGCGGUGAAAUGCGUAGAUAUCGUAAGGAAGACCAGUGGCGAAGGCGGGUCUCUGGGCCGUAACUGACGCUGAGGAGCGAAAGCGUGGGGAGCGAACAGG
rnacentral:rRNA from 1 species